AUGAGGUCGCCGGCGUCCGCAAGGAUGUUGGAGGAAAGUCCGGACUCCGCAGGGCAGGGCGUCCGGUUGUCAAGGCCGGAACGGCGCUGCUAUACCGGCGUCGAUGGAAAGUGCCACAGAAACAAACCGCCGGCGGUGCGCAAGCCUCGCCGGCAAGGGUGAAAAGGCGGUGCAAGAGACCACCGACGCGACAGAGAUGCCGCGUGCAAGGCAAACCCCGCCCGGAGCAAGGUCAAAUAGGGGGACGAGGCGCUGCCCGCGCCGUUCGCCCGCAAGGGCGAUGAGUCUCCGGGUUGACCGCUUAGAUGAAUGACUUCAGUCCGCGCAAGCGGCACAACAGAAUCUGGCUUAUGAUCCACCU
rnacentral:RNase_P_RNA from 1 species